UAAUACGGAGGGUGCAAGCGUUGUUCGGAAUUACUGGGCGUAAAGAGCUCGUAGGUGGCUUUGUAAGUCAGAUGUGAAAUACUCUUGCUCAACGAGAGAAUUGCAUUUGAAACUGCAUAGCUUGAGUACGGGAGGGGGAAGUGGAAUUCCAGGUGUAGCGGUGAAAUGCGUAGAUAUCUGGAAGAACACCGGUGGCGAAGGCGACUUCCUGGACCGAUACUGACACUGAGGAGCGAAAGCGUGGGGAGCAAACAGGAUUAGAUACCCUGGUAGUCCACGCCGUAAACGAUGGGCACUAGGUGUAGGGGGUUUACCCUUCUGUGCCGAAGCUAACGCAUUAAGUGCCCCGCCUGGGGAGUACGGUCGCAAGGCUA
rnacentral:rRNA from 1 species